rnacentral:rRNA from 1 species
AACAGUUUGAUUCUGACUGAAAAAUUAACUAUUUACCAACCAACAUACAUGUAAAAUAUUUAAGCCCGCCUCCGACCAUCUCUAAAUGACUUAAUAACUGUAUUUAGAUACUCUCAAUACAAUAGAGCGCCACAGUAGAUAACACUUUUCAAUUUGAGAAAUCAAGAAAAGAGUAUGGUAUAAGGGCUGGCAAAAUUCGUGCCAGCUGCCGCGGUUAGACGAUAAGCCCAAGUUAAUAAAAUAUAAACUAAUUAAUGAUAAUCUAAACAAUAAUAAAAGUCUAAUUUUAAAGUCCUUGACUCAUACUUAUCAAAAAACAAUAAAAUCAUGAACUAAAACAUGGAUUAGAUACCCAUUUAUUCAUGACAUAUAUAACAGUUGAAUAUUACGAACAACAGUUUAAAAUUCAAAGAUUUUGGCGGUGUCUUAUAAAACCAGGGGAACCUGUCUCAUAACUCGAUAAUCCACGUAUACUCAACCUUCUUUAGACCUCAGCAUGUAUACUGCCGUUGUAAGUAUACCUUUAAAAGUAAGUAUACAACCAUGAUUAAAUACCACGUACAUCAGGUCAAAGUGCAGCCGAUAAGAAGGAGAUGAUGGGUUACAACCCUAAAUAGGAUAAUCAACUAAGAAAUAAAAAAUCUUACGAAAAUGGACUUGGCUGUAAUUAAUUUAUAAGUUAAAGAAAUGAAUAUAACUCUAAGACAUGUACACAUCGCCCGUCACUCUACCCUAAAGGAUAGAUAAGUCGUAACAAAGUAGGUGUAAUGGAAAUUGCACCUGU